UACGGGGGGAGCAAGCGUUGUUCGGAAUUACUGGGCGUAAAGCGUGCGUAGACGGUUACAUAAGUCGGGUGUGAAAGCCCCCGGGCUCAACCUGGGAAUUGCAUUCGAGACUGCGUAGCUAGGGUGCGGAAGAGGGAAGCGGAAUUUCCGGUGUAGCGGUGAAAUGCGUAGAUAUCGGAAGGAACACCAGUGGCGAAAGCGGCUUCCUGGUCCAGCACCGACGUUCAGGCACGAAAGCGUGGGGAGCAAACAGG
rnacentral:rRNA from 1 species